rnacentral:rRNA from 2 species
GCUUUAUAGAUAAUUUAAAUUUGGCUAAUUUAUAAAAAAUAAAAGUUAAAUCUAACUGUUCUAUUUUAUUGGGGUGAUGUGAGCAUAAUUAUUGUUAACUGCUUAAUAAAAAUACUGUAUACGGUAGAAUCUAAAGUGAAUGAUCCUUUAUAAAGAUUAAAAGACUAAGUU